GAAUGGGGAGAGACUUAACCUCCCCUACCAUGGGAGUGCGGCAGCUUCCCCCCUUUUCUGUAUUGUUUUUUACUUACCUCGUGUAUUUUCUUCUGUUUAAAACUUACCUCACUUCCGAUUGGUCAAUUUUCAAUCCCAGGCUUCUGAUUGGUCGAUUCAAAAAAAGGGGCGUGGCUUCGCGGGAAAAGCCGCGAAAGCCGGCUAUAAAAGGACAAGCCGGCGAACGCUCUUCAUUCUUCAUCGGCAGCCGACGCGAGAGGAUCGUUUGGAAAAUGGCUGAAGAGAAUCCCGACGGCAGACUUCACGACAUCCUUCGUUGGAUCCAGGCGGAGGCGGGACAUGAAGAAAUCCAGACGCUCCUUCAGCAGUGCCAGCUUGCAUCAUCGUCGGCGACAGCGGUGACAUCACUUCCGACUGCAGAGCCUCCAGGAUCGCCGUCAGAGGAAGCUGCGUCAUCUUCAGGAGCUGACGUCGCCAUCCAGCGCACCCCAGCUUCGCGCGGACCAGGAAAGAAGCGGAUCGUCGCCGUCAAGAGGAACACCAGAGGGAAACAAGCGGCGAAGAAAAGAACCCAGGUGACGUCAGCGGUCUCCGCCAAGAAGAGGAUCGUCGCUGACCCGCCACAAACAGGAGUUUGGCCGUCGGCUUCCCCCCCUUCAUCGCGAGUGAGUUCCGCCGCUGUUGCAAGUGGUGGGCCGCUCCAGCAAAAGAGCUGUAACGCUUUAGGGCCCUUUCCUUCCACAGGGUCCGGGGGAGGUCCGGCAGCUGGCAGCUCCCAUGUGGGGCACCAGGUCGGCAGGGGACCCCAAAGCCGCCCAGAACCGGGGCCCUCCAGCUGUAACACUAUAGGGCACCCGGUUCGGCCACCUGCCAGCAUGGGUCAUGCAUUGCCAUCAUCUGCCAUUCACAGCGCACCCCAGCCUGCUGGUUUAAACCCUCAGGAGGAGAGUCAACCCAUCCAAGUGAUUGGUAACUAUUCUGCCAAUGAUGUCAUAAAAUCUUUGUUAGCUUUGUUAACCCCUGGUGCGGCGUCAACGCAUAUAAGCACAGGGGCUGUGUCUUCUCAAGUAGCUGAAACUGCUUUUAGAGAUUCAAUACUCUGUGAUGCUACACCUUUGGGUUUGCACUUGCCACAGGCCAUAAAGGAAAAAAUUACAAAAGGAGAGUAUAUUGACAUGCUCUCACUGUUGCCAUCAUCAAAAGAUUUUUUAAGCAAGCAAGUUAAGCAGUCAGAUCCUGAAAUGGACAGACGUCGGCCUGUGGCAAGGACAUUCACUAACUGGUUACAGGCAUUUUGUAUUUAUUCAAAUGUAUUGUGUGAGAAACACCCACAAUUAGGUCCAGGCCUAUUUAAACAUAUUGACAUUAUUCUUGAAGCAUAUAAAGCCUAUGGGGGUAUUUCCUGGUUUUUGUAUGAUGAUAGAUUCAGACAGAAGAUGUCCAUUCAGAAGUCAAUAUCUUGGGGUUCCAAGGAUAUUGACCUUUGGAUGGGAAUGCUUAUUCCCAAACAACCAUCAGUUCCAUUACCUGGGAACAAAACUCCUGUGAAAUAUAAUGCUUGCUGGGCAUUCAAUGAGUCAACUUGCCGCUUCCAAGCAAGCUGUAGAUAUAAACAUGAAUGUGCUCAUUGUACUGGCAACCAUCCUGCCUUUCGUUGUAUCAAACGAUUUGUCACAAAACCCAGUGGUAGGGACUCCAGUAAGUCGGAUAACCCCGGUGAAGUUACCAGAAAUGCGCCACUACCUAGAGCUAUAUCCAAAGCGCCAGAUGGCGUGCCUCUUAGAGAGGGGUUUUGAAGUUGGCUUUUGGAUACCAUCAGCAGAUCCUGUAACCCUCAUAUCAUUUCCAAAGAAUUUAAAAUCAAUAGAUCUAAACCCAAAGGUAGUUAAAGAAAAAAUUGAGAAGGAACUUAAAUUGGGCAGAAUUGAUGGCCCCUUUGAUGAUCCUCCAUUUGAGGAUUUCAGAGUUUCACCGUUAGGACUUGUACCUAAGAAGGAGCCAGGAAGCUAUCGCUUGAUUCACCAUUUAUCAUAUCCUUUGGGGGCAUCUGUCAAUGAUGGAAUUGGUCCGGAGUUAUCUUCAGUUUCAUAUACGACUUUCGACCAGGCAAUAUCGAUAAUUCAAGAAUUUGGUCAAGGUUCAUUAUUGGCUAAAAGUGACAUCCAAUCUGCUUUCAGGCUACUGCCCAUACACCCUGACUGUUAUAAGCUUUUAGGCUUUCAUUAUGAAGGCAGUUUCUAUUUUGACAGAUGCCUCCCAAUGGGCUGUUCCCUUUCGUGCUUUUAUUUUGAAGCCUUUGCAUCCUUUUUGCAAUGGGUAGUUCAAUGGGAAACGGGUUCUAAAGGGGUUAUUCAUUAUUUAGAUGAUUUCCUAUUUGUCGGUCCUGCAGGUUCUAGUUCAUGUGGAAUUUUGUUAAGUACUUUUACGUGGUUUGCUAGGAAAUUUGCCAUUCCACUAGCUGUUGAAAAAACGAUACCCCCUACUACAACCUUGGAAUUCCUUGGUAUUCAGAUAGACACUGUAAAUCGUGAAUUUCGCUUACCUGAAGAGAAAGUAGCUAAGCUGAGAAGCAUUCUAAACUCAACUUUAAAAUCCAAGAAGGUUAAAUUAAAACAUAUACAAUCCUUGAUUGGACAUCUGAAUUUCGCUACAAGGGUUAUUCCUAUUGGUCGGGUUUUUAACAGAAGACUCAUUGCACUAACGUCGGGUCUAGAUAAUCCUAACUGGCACAUAAGAAUCCCUCAGGUAGUUAAAGAUGAUCUGAUUGUUUGGCAGGAAUUUCUAGAGAAUUUCAAUGGCAUUACUUAUUGGCAAGGAGAAUUGUUUGAGAAUGCAGCGUUGAAUCUGUAUACAGACGCAGCUGCUUCAGCAGGGUUUGGCGCUAUCUUUGGCACACAUUGGAUUGCGGAUGCAUGGCCAUCUUUCUGGGUUGAACUCAAGCUUACCAAAAAUCUAGUGUUAUUGGAAUUUUUUCCACUGUUAGUUGUUUUGGAAGUAUGGGGCCCUCAAUUGGCUAACAAACGUAUUGUUUGGCACUGCGAUAAUAUGGGGGUGGUUCAAGUAGUUAAUAAUCUCUCUUCUAACUCCCCCCCAGUACUGAGAUUACUUAGACAGGCAGUAUUCCGAGCUCUUAAAUUUAACAUUUUGAUUCAAGCAAAACAUAUCCCUGGUUGUACCAAUGUUGUGGCUGACGCAUUAUCUCGAUUUCAGUUCAACGAGCUCUGGGAAAUCGCCAAUUAUUUGGACAAAGAAGGAACACCAUGCCCCCAACAUCUGUGGAAUUUAGUAUUGCCAGAAUUUCAAAAUGGUUAAGUAUGUCAUUGGCAGACAAAACCUGGCAUGCUUACAUCGCAAGCUGGAAUGAGUGGAUGAAGUUCAAAACAAGUUUCCCAAAGAUCAUUAUCAAGGGGACAGUGACGUCUUAUUGUCGUUUGUACUGGAGCAAGUUGAGGCUCAGUACUCUCUUUCAGCUAUAACAAAAAAGUUAGCAGGCAUAUCCUUCUUUUUAAAGGUUCAAGGUGAGGCAGACAUAACUAAAUCCUUUUUGGUCAAACAAAUCCUUCGGGGUGUUGGUAGGAUUACACAAUCUGUUGACAUUAGGAGACCCAUCACAUUAUCAUUGUUGAAAGAUUUAGUUUCGGUCCUACCUCAAAUAUGCUAUUCUCAGUUUGAAGCAAUGUUAUUUACUUUGUUAUUUUCUGUGUCUUUCUUUGGUGCCCUUCGGGUAAGUGAGUCGGUCUCUCAUAGUAAGAGAUCCCCAGGGGGUAUUGGGAGUGAAGACAUUCAUCUGGUUGAGGGCAAAUUAAAAAUUAUAUUAAAAAAAUCAAAAACGGAUAAAGUGGGAAGAGGGACAACCCUUUGGCUUGGUAAUAGCACGGAACAGUCAAUAUGCCCAGUAUUAGCUUUUAGCCAUUAUCAGCAAGUCAGACCCUGCCUUCCUGGCCCUUUCUUUAUACACAGUGAUGGCUCUUUUGUUACAAGAUUUCAAUUUGUGAAAAUUCUCAAAGGAGCUGUCAGUAAUUUAGGUAUACCACCUGACCAUUAUAACACACAUUCUUUCCGCAUUGGAGCUGCCACACAAGCCUCAUUGAUGGGUUUAGGAGAAGAGUUCAUCAAAAGGCUUGGCAGAUGGAACUCCUCUAGGUAUCAACUUUAUGUUAGACCUACCCUUGUUUAGUAAGUCUUAUCUUUUUUCGUUACAGUUUCUCCUCCUUUGGUCUGGAUUAUUGGACACUCUUUCGUCCACAGAGCAAGAGCUAGAGCAGAACAGCGAACCUACACAACUAAUUUAGGCAUUAAAGAUGUUAGAAUUGUUUGGAUGGGCAUUCGAGGCCUUAAAUGGCCAGAUUUAUUGCCAAUAAUUUUGCAGAUGAAAUCUCGUUGGGGUUUCCCAGCAAUUAUUCUGAUCCAUCUAGCUGGAAAUGACAUUGGAAAGGGUAGAAACAUUGAUUUAAUUCGUAAUAUAAAAAGAGACCUUGCUCAGAUCAGAUUUAUUUUUCCCAAUACUGUGAUAAUGUGGUCGGAAGUUGUGCCCAGAUUAGUCUGGCUUCAAGAUGCAGGUUUUCACCCCCUUGAGAGAUGCCGUAAAAAACUUAAUUUUGCUAUCUCAAAAUUUUCCAAGACAGUUAAUAUUUUGGUUUAUAGGCACUACGAGUUGGAACAAGGUUUUGAAGGCCUGUAUCGCGCGGACAGGGUACAUUUGUCAGAUAUCGGUUUUGACAUUCUGAACAUGGGAUUCCAAAGUGCAAUAGAGAGAGCUUUACAUGUGUGGGGAAUGGCCAAGGCCAAUUUAAUGGUUUAAUUGGCCUUGACGUGGAGGUAUGCUCCUGGCUAGGUGGUAAAUUGGCGGGGCUUAAGGAUAUUUGUUGUUAAUCUUUAAGGCGGUCCGCUGCAGAGAUCUGAUGCAGAGGCUGGCUGGGAAUAUAUGUAUGAGCAGGUAUUAGUAUCAUUAGCAAUGGUUAAUGUUCUGAUUGAUAUGAUAUUUAAUAAACAACAGCUGCGGCCAUUCUCCACCA